GGGGAUUUAGCUCAGCGGUAGAGCGCUUGCCUAGCAAGCGCAAAGCCCUGGGUUCGAUCCCCAGCUCCG
rnacentral:tRNA from 1 species